CUCCGGCGCGAGAUGGAUUGGCGGGAGUGACUAUUUUUCCUAGCUACGCCACUGGAUAUGAACUGUCUAAUUUUCUUU